rnacentral:rRNA from 1 species
UAGGGAAUCUUCCACAAUGGACGCAAGUCUGAUGGAGCAACGCCGCGUGAGUGAAGAAGGUUUUCGGAUCGUAAAGCUCUGUUGUUGGUGAAGAAGGAUAGAGGCAGUAACUGGUCUUUAUUUGACGGUAAUCAACCAGAAAGUCACGGCUAACUACGUGCCAGCAGCCGCGGUAAUACGUAGGUGGCAAGCGUUGUCCGGAUUUAUUGGGCGUAAAGCGAGCGCAGGCGGAAUGAUAAGUCUGAUGUGAAAGCCCACGGCUCAACCGUGGAACUGCAUCGGAAACUGUCAUUCUUGAGUGCAGAAGAGGAGAGUGGAAUUCCAUGUGUAGCGGUGGAAUGCGUAGAUAUAUGGAGGAACACCAGUGGCGAAGGCGGCUCUCUGGUCUGCAACUGACGCUGAGGCUCGAAAGCAUGGGUAGCGAACAGG